GGCUUCCGGGACGCCGCGGCCACGGGAAGGAGCGCGAGGCAACUCGUCUGAGGAGCCUCGAACAGCGUGGGGGUCUUAGAGGGGUCACGAAGGCUCCGUGAACCCCUAAACCACAGGUGGAAUAUCCUGUUGGUCAAAACACCCAGCAAGGCUGCGUGUGCUCGCCUGUGUUGCCGGCGUUUAACAAGGCUGGAGCCGCAGCGAGAAGGGGAAACAUCAGACUCCAUGCUGUGAAGCCUCAGGCUCCGAGUGAAAGCGGCGGACCUCCAACAACAGAGGAAAAGCUGGGAAAUAGUUCUAAAGCUUUGAUGAAAGCAGAGGAGGGAGAACACUGGAAAACAAUCAAAGUAAAAACAAAAGGAACGUUGAAUGAAGUUGAAUGAAGUACCCAGCGGAGAAGUAAUU
rnacentral:lncRNA from 1 species